rfam:Gossypium hirsutum cultivar TM-1 unplaced genomic scaffold scaffold1856.1, whole genome shotgun sequence
AAUAGGAGAAUGAUAAAUCAAAUUUUUCCUCCUAAUUUUUAACUUUUUCCUCCUGACAAAAUUUAAAUCCAAUUAAAAAUGCUAAAAAUUAAAAGAAAAAUUCUGAUUUUACAUUCUCUUAUU